rnacentral:rRNA from 1 species
GGCGUCCGAGUUGUAAUCUAUAGAAACGUUUUCCGUGCCGGACCGUGUCCAAGUCCCUUGGAACAGGGUAUCAGAGAGGGUGACAAUCCCGUACUUGACACGACGACCGGUGCUCUGUGAUACGUUCUCUACGAGUCGAGUUGUUUGGGAAUGCAGCUCAAAAUGGGUGGUAAACUCCAUCUAAAGCUAAAUAUUGGUGGGAGACCGAUAGCGAACAAGUACCGUGAGGGAAAGAUGAAAAGCACUUUGGAAAGAGAGUUAAACAGUAUGUGAAAUUGUUGAAAGGGAAACGAUUGAAGUCAGUCGUGACCGUUGGGUUCAGCCGGUUCUGCCGGUCUACUCCCUUCGGUCGGGUCAACAUCGGUUUUGACCGGCGGAUAAGGAAGGGAGGAAUGUGGCACCCUCCGGGGUGUGUUAUAGCCUCUCGUCGCAUACGUCGGUCGAGACCGAGGAACGCAGCUCGCCUUUAUGGCCGGGGUUCGCCCACGUCCGAGCUUAGGAUGUUGACAUAAUGGCUUUAAACGAC